rnacentral:rRNA from 1 species
UGGGGAAUUUUGGACAAUGGGCGAAAGCCUGAUCCAGCCAUGCCGCGUGAGUGAAGAAGGCCUUCGGGUUGUAAAGCUCUUUUAGUCGGAAAGAAAGAGUUGCAAUGAAUAAUUGUGAUUUAUGACGGUACCGACAGAAAAAGCACCGGCUAACUACGUGCCAGCAGCCGCGGUAAUACGUAGGGUGCGAGCGUUAAUCGGAAUUACUGGGCGUAAAGGGUGCGCAGGCGGUCUUGCAAGUCAGAUGUGAAAGCCCCGGGCUUAACCUGGGAAUUGCGUUUGAAACUACAAGACUAGAGUGCAGCAGAGGGGAGUGGAAUUCCAUGUGUAGCAGUGAAAUGCGUAGAGAUGUGGAAGAACACCGAUGGCGAAGGCAGCCCCCUGGGCUGACACUGACGCUCAGGCACGAAAGCGUGGGGAGCAAACA